CUGGAGUCAGAGAUAACACAGUGUUGAGCUGGAGGAACGCAGCAGGCCAGGCAGCAUCAGAGGGACAGGAAAGUUGACAUUUCGGGUCGGGACCCUCCUUCAGAAAAACGAUCUUCUGCCGUGCCCCUCCAGCUUUACCCGGUGUUUUCACUGCUUUGCUCAACCUGUUCUCGCCUCUUUCGCUUUCAGUCGUUUGGCGGUGCUAUAUAUACGUCUUUGUCAGCAGCUCUGACAGACCCAGCAACAGAGCUGCUGCCAAAUCCGGAUCUCGUCAGGCUGUUCGGGUAAAUCUCGCAAGCUCUCAGCUUUCAGCUUUCGAGCCGCGGGGACGGUGUAUAAAUGUAGCCCUGCGUUCAAUCCAUUUUUCCCCGCUUCUGUAUACAGAGGCGUUCGGGGUUAAGGAGGAGCCAAAACUGAAACAACUGCGGAUGCUGCACAUCGGGAACAAAACGGGAAGUUGUCGUGGAACAAAAAGGUUAGCAGGCCUGGCGGCAUCUGCUAAGGAGAAUUUUUAAAAAAGCAGAGGUGACGUUUCGGCUCCGGCGACCCUUUGUCAGAGGACGAAUUCCAGGCACUUUCAAAGCACAAAGUAAGGAAAAUGCCUUCAAAAAGAAAUCCUGCAAACAGAAAAGAUGUUCGUAUUUGGAGAAGGGUGUGCGAGCUAUUCCUGGCGGUCAGCGUUUCUGCCUUUUUGGAUCGUUGUAUUGAGGCUAAAUAUGGAAAACAGAGCUGACAGGGGAGAUGGAGUGGAAUCCGACGCUGACCGGGUGCAUCUAACACACGAACCCUGGGAAAGAGCAGGACGUCACGAAUAGGCGAGGGAUGUAGGUGUUGGCUAGAGCUCUGGGAAUAGUGGAAUAGUUACCAUUCAGGGGGUGCGAGAGAGAGGGGGGUGGGAGGAACAGGGAAUUGAAAGGAAGUGUGUCAGUCGUUCACACACUCCAGUGGGACUCGGAGUCGAGAGGGAAGCGGGAGAAGACCCUUUCACGUUAACAGUGGUAUUAGUAGUUUUACUGUACCCGUGCACAGCCGGAUGCAACAACAACAUUCUGCGGGAUAAAUGAAACGAAGGUCUGGGAUGCUGAGCGUGGUAGAGCAUUGCCGGUAGAGAGGGAGAAAGCAUACGCGAAAAGCAUUACAGCAUGAAAUUGAGACAGUAGGAGCUGCAGAUGCUGGAGAAUCUGGAGGAUGUUGUGAAAUUUGAAAGGUUUCAGAAAAGAUUUACAAGGACAUUGCGCUCGGAGGGUUUGAGCUACAGGGAGACGCUGAACAGACUGGGGCAAUUUCCCCUGGAGUGUCGGAGGCAGAGGGGUGACUUUUUAGAGGUUUGUAAAAUCCUAGGGGGCAUGGAUAGGAUAAAUAGACAGGAUCUUUACCCCGUGGUAGGGCGGUCAAAAACUAGAGGGCAUCAGUUUAAGGUGAGAAGGUAAAUAUUGAAAAGGGACCUAAGGGGCAACUUUUUCACUCAGAGGAUGGUGUGUGUACAGAAUGAGCUGCCAGAAGAAGUGGUGGAGGCUGGUAAAAUUACAUUUAAAAGGCAUCUGGAUGGGUACAUAAAUGGGAAGAAUUUAGAGGGAUAUGGGCCAAAUGCUGGCAAAUGGGACUAGAUUAACUUAGGAUAUCUCGUGGGCAUGGAUGAGUUGGACCGAGGGGUCCGUUUCCGUGCUGUACAGCCCUCUGACUCUAUGACGCUAUAACAAGGUGUAGAGCUGGAUGAACACAGCAGGCCAAGCAGCAUCUCAGGAGCAGGAAGGCUAACGUUUCGGGUCUGGACCCUUAUUCAGAAAAAAAAGUGAAAUGUUUUCUUGAGGAGGGCAGAUGUAAACAUGUUUUUGUGGAGAGACUGUAAACAAGAGCAGACACAGUUUAGAGACCAGAAGACGAAACAGCAGAAGGGAAGGGUUUUGUGUGUUGGAUACAUCCCGGUGGGUGACGCUGUGAUCCACCCGUGGAUUUUCAUUUUCAAGCUGCUCCCUGUUCCGCACUCUGUUUCCCAGACUCUGCCGUCCAGUUUAGCUGUUGCAAUGCAAACCCGCUAAUUGCCUCACAUGGCUGGAUUUGUUGUCCAAUAAUAAAAGCACAAUAUAAGCUGAUCUGUUCGCUCCAACGUGAUGAAAGUGAGAUUCAGCGUGUGUGGAGGGACAGCUUGGAAGGCGCUGAACCCCUCGGCGAUUCAUUUCCCAGUUCAAACCACAUUCAAUGACCACCAUACUCAAUGGCCGAAUUUGGAGAGGUCACAGUUGGAUCUCUCAGUCACACUGUUUCAAUCCUCCCGCUGCUUUAUCGGCCU